rnacentral:rRNA from 1 species
UACGAAGGGGGCUAGCGUUGCUCGGAAUCACUGGGCGUAAAGCGCACGUAGGCGGCUUUCUAAGUCAGGGGUGAAAUCCUGGAGCUCAACUCCAGAACUGCCUUUGAUACUGGAGAGCUCGAGUCCGGAAGAGGUGAGUGGAACUGCGAGUGUAGAGGUGAAAUUCGUAGAUAUUCGCAAGAACACCAGUGGCGAAGGCGGACUCACUGGUCCGGUACUGACGCUGAGGUGCGAAAGCGUGGGGAGCAAACAGGG